CCCCAGAAUCCGCACAGUCCCGCCCGCCUGGGAGAUCACUGGCCUCCUUAUUUUAGGCGGGUCCCAACGCCGAGUUUACGACACCGGGGUGGUCGACCCAGGAUGCCCAGUGAAACUCUCUGGGAAAUUGCAAAAGCAGAAGUGGAAAAACGGGGAAGCAGUGGAGGUGAAGGUGAUGGAGUUGAAAUUGGAGAAAAAUCUGUUUUCUUCAUUGGCAGUAAAAAUGGGGGAAAGACUACUAUUAUCCUAAGGUGUCUUGACAGGGAUGAGCCACCAAAACCAACCUUAGCUUUGGAAUAUACAUAUGGAAGAAGAACAAAAGGGCAUAAUAUACCAAAAGAUAUUGCUCACUUUUGGGAACUAGGUGGAGGGACCUCUUUAUUGGACUUAAUCAGCAUACCCAUCACAAGUGACACCUUACGGACAUUUUCUAUUGUUCUUGUUCUGGAUCUUUCAAAACCUAAUGACCUUUGGCCCACCAUGGAAAAUCUGUUGCAAGCCAUGAAAAGCCAUGUCGAUAAAAUGAUAAUGAAACUGGGGAAGACAAAUUCCAAAGCAGCCUCUGAGAUGAGACAGAGGAUAUGGAGUAAUAUGCAGAAGGACCAUCCGGAUCGUGAAUUAGUCGACCCAUUUCUGAUACCUCUGGUCAUAAUUGGAAGUAAAUAUGAUAUUUUUCAGGAUUUUGACUCUGAGAAGAGAAAGGUUAUAUGCAAGACACUUCGAUUUGUUGCACAUUAUUAUGGAGCAUCAUUAAUGUUUACCAGUAAAUCAGAAGCUCUAUUACUAAAAAUACGUGGAGUUAUCAACCAGUUAGCAUUUGGCAUUGACAGAAGCAAAUCAAUAUGUGUGGAUCAAAAUAAACCACUGUUUAUCACAGCAGGAUUGGAUUCUUUAAGUCAAAUAGGAUCUCCUCCUGUUCCUGAUAAUGACAUUGGAAAGCUUCAUGCCCAUUCACCAAUGGAAUUGUGGAAAAAAGUGUAUGAAAGGGUCUUUCCACCAAAGAGUAUCAACACACUAAAAGAUACCAAGGACCCCGCAAGAGACCCUCAGUAUGCUGAAAGAGAAGUUGACGAAAUGAGAAUGCAGAAGGAUCAGGAACUGGAACAAUACAAAAGAAGUUCCUCCAAGUCUUGGAAACAAAUUGAGCUUGAUUCUUGAACAUAAUUCAACUAUAGUGUAUUUAUUUAUUCUUUCCCAAAUACAAGAUAACAAGAACUGGGAUAAAGGCAUACAAAAUCAGAAAGUUUGUCGUGAAUCUGGAUGUUGCACCUGGGCAGGUUCUCUCAAUGAAUUGAAUUCCUUGAGUGAAGGCACACAUUGGAUUAGUUGUCACAGAACCAUUUGAGCUGCCUGCCAGGAAGAUUGACAGUGUCAGAUAUGAUGCUUCCCAGAACCUUCUCAUGGGCAGUUUUUCAAAGACUGUAUGGUCUUCAAGAUCAGUGCUUCACAAAUUUUAAAGUGCACAUGAACCACCAGGAGGAUCCUGUUAAAUGCAGAAUCCAAUUCCGUAGCUGGGCCUGAGAUUCUACAUGUUAAACAAGUUCAAAAGCAAGGCUGACACUGGUCUGUGGGCUACACUGAGUAGCAAGAGUCUAAAUUACCGAGGUCUUCAAUUUUCAGCCAACCCUGAUUUACUCAAAAAUGAUCAGGUUGUAAAUGAUCUGUUCCUGGAUCAUUCAGCCUGAACUAGACAGGCUCAUGGUUUGUUUACAUCAUGGAUUAGAGUCAACAUGUUCCUGAGUGUCAGAGAAUGAGGCUUCAUCAGGUCCAGCAGGGAGGCCCCAUGGUCCCUGCCAUCGCCCUCAGCGGGGAGCCCAAUCUGCUAACUCGGAGCAAGUGGCUUUGCCUCUAUCACUCUCCAGAGUGAUACCAACUUCUAAGCACCUGCACCAAGACCUUCCUAGUCCUCAUCUGGGAGCUCAAACUAACUAGGCCCUGGUUUAUCUUUUACCUAUGUAUCACUUAAUUCAUAGUAAUUAUUGGUAUUACAUAUCAUGGGUCUGAAUACUGGCUAUGUUAGGAGCACCUAUAAUUAUUCAGGCAGUCAUGAAUCCCGUGGCCUGAAGACAACAUCUCAAGACUGCCUGAAGUUCUCCUGGGAUGACAAGCUGGGCACAUUUACACUACUAGAGUCACAGAAUACCAGGUAAUACCCCCAUCUUUUCUUACGGGAAAGCCACAGGCAUUAGGAAAGAUACCUCUCCCUAUGACGAUAAAUCAUGCAAAUAACUACACAUUUUCAGAUUUAUAUCUUUUAAAAGCUCUAAGAAACAAAAAAAACAAAAAGAAGCAUUGUCUAUAAGCCAUCAAUCAAAACCGAACAGCAUCAGGGAUGCUUCAUGGCUCCUCAGUGCCUCUUCCCAUAGUCAUUCUUCCAUUGCUCAAACCCCCUCACACCAGCCCAACUGUGAUGUCACAGGUGGGUCAGUGGAAACGUCAGGCAGAGUUGCUGUUCCAGCUGACAGGUGCUCGGAAGCCUUGCUUAAUGUUGAGCCAUGCUUAACAGCUGC